GUCCGCCUACGGGACGCAGCAGUGAGGAAUAUUGGUCAAUGGUCGGGAGACUGAACCAGCCAAGCCGCGUGAGGGAUGAAGGUACAGAGUAUCGUAAACCUCUUUUGUCAGGGAACAAAGGCGGGGACGUGUCCCCGGAUGAGUGUACCUGAAGAAAAAGCAUCGGCUAACUCCGUGCCAGCAGCCGCGGUAAUACGGAGGAUGCGAGCGUUAUCCGGAUUUAUUGGGUUUAAAGGGUGCGCAGGCGGUCUGUUAAGCCAGCGGUCAAAGCCCGGGGCCCAACCCCGGCCCGCCGUUGGAACUGG
rnacentral:rRNA from 1 species